rnacentral:rRNA from 1 species
UACGAAGGGGGCUAGCGUUGCUCGGAAUCACUGGGCGUAAAGCGCACGCAGGCGGACGCGCGCGUGGGGUGUGAAAUCUGGCCGCUUAACGGCCAGGCGCCAUCCCAUACGGCGCGUCUGGAGUGAUGCAGAGGUCGAUGGAAUUGCCGGUGUAGUGGUGAAAUGCGUAGAGAUCGGCAGGAACACCCAGGGGGAAACCAGUCGACUGGGCAUCUACUGACGCUGAGGUGCGAGAGCGUGGGGAGCGAACCGG